rnacentral:rRNA from 1 species
AUGGGCUAUAAACUGUGGGUACAACCCGGUUCUCUGUAUGGGUUCAUUGCCUUCGACUGCUCCCCAACCCAUGCGCCGCCCGUCUUCGCCCUCGCCGCCGCCCGCACGCCCCCUGUCUCUUCCCCCUCGCCGUCCCUUCCUUGCGCCACCGCCUCGCCGUCCCCCUGCGGCGCCGCCCCCUCCUUGGGACAGAAGAUCCAGCAUGAGCUACCCCGAGCUGGCCCUCCCAUCGUUGCCGCCGCCCCUCCCCGUCCGUUAGGGUUGAGGUCGCCGGGCCGUCUCCGCCGCGCCACCUUCCCUCCGUCGGCAGCCGACAGGUACCCCUCUCUCUCUCUCUCUCUCUCUCUCUCUCUCUCUCUNNNNNNNNNNCUCCGGCGCCGCCCCCUCCUUGGGACAGAAGAUCCAGCAUGA